UUCGAAAAAGUCUCGAUGUCUACUAAGACUGUACAAUACAAUCAAUCAACAGAUAAGGAAGUCUGGUUGUGUUAGAUAAUCGAAUCGAUGCGUUUCAAUAAAUCCACCGAUAAAAAGGAAACGCUGGAACCGGGCCGAAACAAAGGAAUUACAUCAUCGACGCGCGCACGGGACGACAACGUGCGUCGUCGUUCGUUCGGUCAGUGAGCGAGAGAAAAAAAAACGUUCGGCACAGUGAUCGAAAAUUAAUGGUAUUUUCGCGAAAGGAAAGGCGGUCAGGGCGUGAGUCAGGCAAGGCAAGGAAAGAAAGCCAAGGCAACGCUAUUUUUCCCGUAGAAUCAGACGAACGAUUGGAUGUACGAAUGAAAGAAUGAACGAACGAACAGACGGACAAGCAAGCAGGCAAGCGAACGAACCAAGUCGGCCUGGUCGAGCAGCCGGCCGGCUCCAAAGCAAUGACUUGGCAACGUUGCAUCGUACACCGGAGGAUCUAUAUCCCAGACUACCGCGACGCGGCAUACUUCGGCGGGAUUCGGUUCAAUUCGGUUCAGUUCGGUUUGAUUCGGCUCGGCCCUCGGCUUUGUUCGACACUAACCACGUGACUUACUACACGUUACUCGCUAUUCGACCAACAGCUCCUGGAACUUGGCACCCGGAAAAAAAUGUCACGUGGGUGGCAGCCAUAUUGGCAGAAUGAACAUCUCCACACGUGUUUUAACCAUUGAAUUUGUUCCAAAGAGAAGCAACAAUAGAAUGACCAUCACCCACGUGAUCGGCAUACAGACAGCCAAAUCGCUCGUUAGGUGAAUUACGGAUAGAAGUCAACAUGGCGUCAAAGUAAUCUUUAAAAAUGGACAUAACUGCGAAAGGAUCAUCCAUCUCUAGCUAAUUAUAGCACCUGGUAGACAACGUAGAAUAUAAUAAUUAUAUUAUUUGGGAAUGUCGAAAUAUAAAAAUGUGAGGGAAAUAUAGACAUCAAAUUUUUUGACAAUUCUAACCCUCUCCUAGAGUCAUCCAUCUCCAGCUAAUUGUAGCACCCGGUAGACAACGUAGAAUACAGUAAUUCAUCUAGAAAUCUCAGAAUACAAAAAUGUGAAAAGAUAAAUAUCAAAGAACACAGAAAUCGUGAAAUAGAGACAUUCAACCGUUUCCAGUUAAUUGAAGCACCCUGUAUAUCUUAUGUUUCGCGUGCCUCUACAAUUUCCUCGCCGACGAUCUGUGGAUACGUCUUGUUUUUCGAUACGCUAUUGCAUCUCGUUUAAUACACAGAGAAUUGAUACGUGGGAGACACGCGAGUGCAGGCUGCCUGCCGUGUCAUUUAUCCUUCGUUCGGCGAGUCUGAAAGCGAGUCAAGGAAUUCGUACCGGAGGCUGUUAUUUUCAAAUAUAUACUCUAUGUUACCCACUGUGGCACAGAAAAGGCUUUCUCUAAGCAAGCACUUAUUUACGAGCUAAUAAAGCAUACAUCGUCGACGAACAACAGUCGGUAAUUAUACGAGCUAUAGUUACUCCCGAUCAUACGUACAGACAACGGCAAAUAUGUAUCUUGUAGGGCGGUUUAGACGGUUGCGAAUUUUGUGAUGUGGGGAUUUGGGAAUUUAGGAAU